AACUUUCGGCAAUGGAUCACUUGGCUCUCGCAUCGAUGAAGAACGCAGCGAAGUGCGAUACGUAAUGUGAAUUGCAGAAUUCAGUGAAUCAUCGAAUCUUUGAACGCACCUUGCGCCCCUUGGAAUUCCGAGGGGCACACCCGUUUGAGUGUCGUGAACAUCCUUCAACCUUUCUUGGUUUCUUGACCGGGGAAGGCUUGGACUUUGGGGGUCUUUCAUUGCUGGCCUCUUUGAAGCCAGCUCCUCCUAAAUGUAUUAGUGUGGUCUGCUUUGCCGAUCCUUGACGUGAUAAGAUGUUUCUACGUCUUGGGUUUCGCACUGUCGCUUUAGACCCCGCUUCUAACCGUCUUGCAUUCAAGACAGAGUUUUAAACCUUGACCUCAAAUCGGGUGAGACUACCCGCUGAACUUAAGCAUAUCAAUAAGCGGAGGCU
rnacentral:misc_RNA from 1 species